rnacentral:lncRNA from 1 species
ACCAUGAUUUUCUAUUAGAGGAUGUUCUAUUCUAGGACAUGGGAUAGAUCUCUUAGUGGAACCAUGGAACCAUCGAAGUUUUUUUUUGCGUUUUUGCGGGAAAUACUCGUUUUGAAGGGAAAGAUCUUAUAUUUUCUGCUACUUAAGAUCUUAUAAUUUAGUAGAGAGAAAGUGUUCCCAAGAGAGACAUGUUUUAGUAUCAAUGAUGAAAGUAUUAUUGAUAAUUUGGUAGUAUGAGUUUCUUGAUUGCAAUUGCACAUAUUAAUAUUAUCAACUGUGACUAAAAUACCACAUUAGUAUGUAAGUAAUUUACAAACCAAAUGAACAAAAUGUUGAUGUUCUUU